GUGGGGAAUCUUCCGCAAUGGACGAAAGUCUGACGGAGCAACGCCGCGUGAGUGAAGAAGGUUUUCGGAUCGUAAAGCUCUUUCGUUAGGGACGAACGUGCUCUUUGUGAAUAAUGAGGAGUAAUGACGGUACCUAAAUAAGAAGCCACGGCUAACUACGUGCCAGCAGCCGCGGUGAUACGUAGGUGGCAAGCGUUGUCCGGAAUUAUUGGGCGUAAAGCGCGCGCAGGCGGGAUAUCAAGUCUGUCUUAAAAGUGCGAGGCUCAACCUCGUGAGGGGACAGAAACUGGUAUUCUUGAGUGUCGGAGAGGAAAGUGGAAUUCCUAGUGUAGCGGUGAAAUGCGUAGAUAUUAGGAAGAACACCAGUGGCGAAGGCGACUUUCUGGACGAAAACUGACGCUGAGGCGCGAAAGCCAGGGGAGCGAACGGGAUUAGAUACCCUUGUAGUCC
rnacentral:rRNA from 1 species